rnacentral:misc_RNA from 1 species
UGGCGGUCCACUGGAAUCGUUGCUUUACGCGACUCCAAAUUGAAGACAUUUCCUGAUGAAGUUUUUGACCUGGAAAAAUCUGUACGUACCCUCGACUUAACACACAAUAAAAUGGUUGAAAUUCCAAUGGAGAUCAACAAAUUAACCAACUUACAACGUCUUAUUUUAGCCAAUAACAUUAUUGAGCGCCUUCCCAUGAAUCUGGGAUUGCUCCAGUCUUUGAAAGUGGCAACAUUUGAUGGGAAUCGAAUCACAAACUUGCCUG